CCUACGGGCGGCAGCAGUGGGGAAUAUUGGACAAUGGGGGCAACCCUGAUCCAGCCAUGCCGCGUGUGUGAAGAAGGCCCUCGGGUUGUAAAGCACUUUCAGUGAGGAAGAACGCCUGGUGGUUAAUACCCAUCAGGAAAGACAUCACUCACAGAAGAAGCACCGGCUAACUCCGUGCCAGCAGCCGCGGUAAUACGGAUGGUGCGAGCGUUAAUCGGAAUUACUGGGCGUAAAGCGCGCGUAGGUGGCUUGAUAAGCCGGUUGUGAAAGCCCCGGGCUCAACCUGGGAACGGCAUCCGGAACUGUCAAGCUAGAGUGCAGUAGAGGAAGGUAGAAUUCCCGGUGUAGCGGUGAAAUGCGUAGAGAUCGGGAGGAAUACCAGUGGCGAAGGCGGCCUUCUGGACUGACACUGACGCUGAGGUGCGAAAGCGUGGGUAGCAAACAGGAUUAGAUACCCCGGUAGUC
rnacentral:rRNA from 1 species